rnacentral:rRNA from 1 species
AUUGAACGCUGGCGGCAGGCCUAACACAUGCAAGUCGAGCGGAUGAAGGGAGCUUGCUUCUGGAUUCAGCGGCGGACGGGUGAGUAAUGCCUAGGAAUCUGCCUGGUAGUGGGGGAUAACGUCCGGAAACGGGCGCUAAUACCGCAUACGUCCUGAGGGAGAAAGUGGGGGAUCUUCGGACCUCACGCUAUCAGAUGAGCCUAGGUCGGAUUAGCUAGUUGGUGGGGUAAAGGCCUACCAAGGCGACGAUCCGUAACUGGUCUGAGAGGAUGAUCAGUCACACUGGAACUGAGACACGGUCCAGACUCCUACGGGAGGCAGCAGUGGGGAAUAUUGGACAAUGGGCGAAAGCCUGAUCCAGCCAUGCCGCGUGUGUGAAGAAGGUCUUCGGAUUGUAAAGCACUUUAAGUUGGGAGGAAGGGCAGUAAGUUAAUACCUUGCUGUUUUGACGUUACCAACAGAAUAAGCACCGGCUAACUUCG